UUUUAUGGAGAGUUUGAUCCUGGCUCAGGAUGAACGCUGGCGGCGUGCCUAAUACAUGCAAGUCGAGCGAACGGACGAGAAGCUUGCUUCUCUGAUGUUAGCGGCGGACGGGUGAGUAACACGUGGAUAACCUACCUAUAAGACUGGGAUAACUUCGGGAAACCGGAGCUAAUACCGGAUAAUAUUUUGAACCGCAUGGUUCAAAAGUGAAAGACGGUCAUGCUGUCACUUAUAGAUGGAUCCGCGCUGCAUUAGCUAGUAGGUAAGGUAACGGUCUCACAAGGCAACGAUGCAUAACCUACCUGAGCGGGAUAUCGGCCACACUGGACCUGAGACACGGUCCAGACUCCUACGGGAGGCA
rnacentral:rRNA from 1 species